AUUGAACGCUGGCGGCAGGCCUAACACAUGCAAGUCGAGCGGAUGAAGGGAGCUUGCUCCUGGAUUCAGCGGCGGACGGGUGAGUAAUGCCUAGGAAUCUGCCUGGUAGUGGGGGAUAACGUCCGGAAACGGGCGCUAAUACCGCAUACGUCCUGAGGGAGAAAGUGGGGGAUCUUCGGACCUCACGCUAUCAGAUGAGCCUAGGUCGGAUUAGCUAGUUGGUGGGGUAAAGGCCUACCAAGGCGACGAUCCGUAACUGGUCUGAGAGGAUGAUCAGUCACACUGGAACUGAGACACGGUCCAGACUCCUACGGGAGGCAGCAGUGGGGAAUAUUGGACAAUGGGCGAAAGCCUGAUCCAGCCAUGCCGCGUGUGUGAAGAAGGUCUUCGGAUUGUAAAGCACUUUAAGUUGGGAGGAAGGGCAGUAAGUUAAUACCUUUCUGUUUUGACGUUACCAACAGAAUAAGCACCGGCUAACUUCGUG
rnacentral:rRNA from 1 species